rnacentral:rRNA from 1 species
UACGUAGGGACCGAGCGUUGUCCGGAUUCAUUGGGCGUAAAGAGCUCGUAGGCGGUCUGUCGCGUCGGUCGUGAAACUUUGGGCUCAACCCAAAGCGUGCAUUCGAUACUGUUGUGACUAGAGUUCGGUAGGGGAGUGGGGAAUUCCUAGUGUAGCGGUGAAAUGCGCAGAUAUUAGGAGGAACACCGGUGGCGAAGGCGCCACUCUGGGCCGAAACUGACGCUGAGGAGCGAAAGCGUGGGUAGCAAACAGG